rnacentral:tRNA from 3 species
GGCACUAUAGCCAAGCGGUAAGGCAAAGGUCUGCAAAACCUCUAUGCCCCAGUUCGAAUCUGGGUGGUGCCUCCA